CCUACGGGAGGCAGCAGUGAGGAAUAUUGGUCAAUGGGAGGAAUCCUGAACCAGCCAUGCCGCGUGCAGGACGACGGCUCUACGAGUUGUAAACUGCUUUUGUACCGGGGUAAAAUGCCUUACGUGUAGGGUUUUGAAAGUACGGUACCUGACUAAGAAGCCCCGGCUCACUACGUGCCAGCAGCCGCGGUAAUACGUAGGGGGCAAGCGUUAUCCGGAUUUACUGGGUGUAAAGGGAGCGUAGACGGCUGGACAAGUCUGAAGUGAAAGCCCGUGGCUCAACCGCGGAACUGCUUUGGAAACUGUAAAGCUGGAGUACUGGAGAGGCAGGCGGAAUUCCUAGUGUAGCGGUGAAAUGCGUAGAUAUUAGGAGGAACACCAGUGGCGAAGGCGGCCUGCUGGACAGAAACUGACGUUGAGGCUCGAAAGCGUGGGGAGCAAACAGGAUUAGAUACCCCAGUAGUC
rnacentral:rRNA from 1 species